GACGAACGCUGGCGGCGUGCCUAAUACAUGCAAGUAGAACGCUGAAGAGAGGAGCUUGCUCUUCUUGGAUGAGUUGCGAACGGGUGAGUAACGCGUAGGUAACCUGCCUUGUAGCGGGGGAUAACUAUUGGAAACGAUAGCUAAUACCGCAUAACAAUGGAUGACACAUGUCAUUUAUUUGAAGGGGGCAAUUGCUCCACUACAAGAUGGACCUGCGUUGUAUUAGCUAGUAGGUGAGGUAAUGGCUCACCUAGGCGACGAUACAUAGCCGACCUGAGAGGGUGAUCGGCCACACUGGGACUGAGACACGGCCCAGACUCCUACGGGAGGCAGCAGUAGGGAAUCUUCGGCAAUGGGGGCAACCCUGACCGAGCAACGCCGCGUGAGUGAAGAAGGUUUUCGGAUCGUAAAGCUCUGUUGUAAGUCAAGAACGGGUGUGAGAGUGGAAAGUUCACACUGUGACGGUAGCUGACCAGAAAGGGACGGCUAACUACGUG
rnacentral:rRNA from 1 species